rnacentral:piRNA from 1 species
UGCCAGCAGCAUCCUCUCUCCCAU